rnacentral:rRNA from 1 species
AGUAAAAGUCGUAACAAGGUCUCCGUAGGUGAACCUGCGGAGGGAUCAUUACAAGUGACCCCGGUUUACCACCGGGAUGUUCAUAACCCUUUGUUGUCCGACUCUGUUGCCUCCGGGGCGACCCUGCCUUCGGGCGGGGGCUCCGGGUGGACACUUCAAACUCUUGCGUAACUUUGCAGUCUGAGUAAACUUAAUUAAUAAAUUAAAACUUUUAACAACGGAUCUCUUGGUUCUGGCAUCGAUGAAGAACGCAGCGAAAUGCGAUAAGUAAUGUGAAUUGCAGAAUUCAGUGAAUCAUCGAAUCUUUGAACGCACAUUGCGCCCCCUGGUAUUCCGGGGGGCAUGCCUGUUCGAGCGUCAUUUCACCACUCAAGCCUCGCUUGGUAUUGGGCAACGCGGUCCGCCGCGUGCCUCAAAUCGACCGGCUGGGUCUUCUGUCCCCUAAGCGUUGUGGAAACUAUUCGCUAAAGGGUGCUCGGGAGGCUACGCCGUAAAACAACCCCAUCUCUAAGGUUGACCUCGGAUCAGGUAGGGAUACCCGCUGAACUUAAGCAUAUCAAUAAGCGGAGGAAAAGAAACCAACAGGGAUUGCCCUAGUAACG